GAGAGCACAUCCUCUGUACACCAUCAGGGGUGGGGUCUGGCAGCUGGUUUAAGACCAUGCAGAGAAGAGGCUGUGGUAAGUGGCCUAUGAGUUUGAUGGUCAUUUCAGACAAGUUACAUUGGAGGCUUCCAUUGAAUCCUGGCUCAGUUUUCAUAGCUGCAAGCUUUUCAGAAUAAGUGGAGACAUCAGAAUAAUCAGUUUGUCAUCCCAUCUAUUGAAAAUAGAAAGUAUAUUGGUAAUAAAAUAAUGAUUCAUCAA
rnacentral:lncRNA from 1 species